rnacentral:rRNA from 1 species
CUACGGGCGGCUGCAGUGAGGAAUAUUGCACAAUGGGGGGAACCCUGAUGCAGCAACGCCGCGUGGAGGAUGACGCAUUUCGGUGUGUAAACUCCUUUUAUAUGUCAAGAAAAUGACGGUAGCAUAUGAAUAAGCACCGGCUAACUCCGUGCCAGCAGCCGCGGUAAUACGGAGGGUGCAAGCGUUACUCGGAAUCACUGGGCGUAAAGGACGCGUAGGCGGGUUGGAAAGUCAGGUGUGAAAUCCUACAGCUUAACUGUAGAACUGCACUUGAAACUUCUAAUCUAGAGUAUGGGAGGGGGAGAUGGAAUUAGUGGUGUAGGGGUAAAAUCCGUAGAUAUCACUAGGAAUACCUAAAGCGAAGGCGAUCUCCUGGAACAUUACUGACGCUAAGGCGUGAAAGCGUGGGGAGCAAACAGGAUUAGAUACCCGCGUAGUC